rnacentral:rRNA from 1 species
UACGGGGGGAGCAAGCGUUGUUCGGAUUUACUGGGCGUAAAGGGCGCGUAGGCGGCCACCGCAAGUCGACUGUGAAAUCUCAGGGCUCAACCCUGAAACUGCAUUCGAUACUGCGCGGCUAGAGUGCUGGAGGGGAGACUGGAAUUUACGGUGUAGCAGUGAAAUGCGUAGAUAUCGUAAGGAAGACCAGUGGCGAAGGCGAGUCUCUGGACAGCAACUGACGCUGAGGCGCGACAGCGUGGGGAGCAAACAGG